CAGACCGAGAUAGAUAGAGAGAGAGACAGAGAGAGAGACAGAGAGAGAGACAGAGAGAGAGAGAGGACAUUAGCGCAACAUUGUGGCGCAGCAUUUUCACAAAGCUUGAACUCACUGCACUCAGUUAGCACGUCUGAUGAUGACACACACAUUCUUGAACAAGGAAGUCAUUUGCAGUCUUUCUAUUUGUAUUUAUUUUUGGUGUUUGGUGCUUUCAAUGAGGAGCGGACAAGAACAUAAUAAGGAUGACCUGUAUAUAGGGUCAUCAUGUGGAUCAUAAAAAGCUUACGAAAUAUGUGUGCUGUGCUCUUCCCAGCUUCAACUUGAAAGGGAGGCCAAGCUACAGCGCUGUAGCAAACCAGAAGGCCCGUUCCCAUCAAGCCUGCCGAAUAUCUCGACUGAUCUCCCUCGAAGCUGGAAACAAUUUUGGAGGUCUUGGGGCCGCAGGUUGGGGAACCCUGGCCUACAGGGAGGAGGUCAGAGACCUAGCAGUGUAGUGCCAGGACAACAACCUCUCCCUCAACGUCGGUAAGACAAAGCUGAUCGUGGAUUACAAGGAACACAGGUGGAGAGCAUCAAGUUCCUUGGUGUUCACAUCACUAAGGACAAGGUAACUCCCUGCCACCCAGGACCUCUAUACCAGGCGGUGUCAGAGGAAAGCCCUAAAAAGAUUGUCCAAAGCUCCAGCCACCAAGUCAUACAAUGUUCUCUCUGCUACCACAUGGUAAGCGGUACCAACAUACCAAGUCUGGAACCAACAGGGCCCUUAACAGCUUCUACCCCCCAAGACAUCAGACUGCUAAAUAGUUAGUUAAUUGGUCCGGGUAGCUAUUGGUUAACUAUCUACAAUGACCCUUUUUGCACUAACUCUUUAGACUCAUCACAUACGUUGCUGUUUACUAUCUAUGAUGUAUCCUGUUGCCUAGUCACUUUAUCACUAUCUAUGUGUACAUAUCUACCUCAAUUACCUCGUACCCCUGCACAUCGACUCGGUACUAGUACCCGGUGUAUAAAGCCAAGUUAUCGUCACGCAUUGUGCAUUUAUUACUUGAGUUAUUAUUUUACUUUUUUUUCUCUCUGCAUUGUUGGAAAGGGCCCGUAGGUAAGCAUUUCAUCGUUAGUCUACACCUGUUGUUUACGAAGCAUGUGACAAAUACAAUUUCAUUUUAUUUGAACUUCGUUGUUGAGGAAAAUGUUUUACUUACUACGACUGUGAUAUUUUAAGAUGAAUGCACACACUGUAAGUCACUCUGGACAAGAGUGCCUCCUAAAUUACUAAAAUGCUGUAAACAAUGCUGUGAACAAUGCUGUGAACGAUGCUGUGAACAAUGCUGUGAACAAUGCUGUGAACGAUGCUGUGAACAAUGCUGUGAACAAUGCUGUGAACAAUGCUGUGAACGAUGCUGUGAACGAUGCUGUGAACAAUGCUGUGAACGAUGCUGUGAACAAGGCUGUGAACAAUGCUGUGAACAAUGCUGUGAACAAUGCUGUGAACGAUGCUGUGAACAAUGCUGUGAACAAUGCUGUGAACAAUGCUGUGAACUAAUUUUCCCCAAUCCUCAUUCUCUGGGCCCCUCAUCUCUAAACGAAGAGAUCAAGACAGCUCUACUUUAUCAGGGUGACUGGAAUGUCGCUCUCUUCUGUUUUUGGUGUGUGUCUAACGCAAUGCCAUAUGUCUAACGCAAUGUUAUCCAGGUGGAUAUCAAUAAAGACGGUGUGCUUCAGGUAGAAUCCCCCCACCGUUUCUGAAGCCUAAUCUCUCUAUUGAAGCAGCUGCAUUGAUUUGUGAUUGGUACAAAGGCUGAGUA